GUGUCAUAGCAGGGCCGAAGUCUUCACUCAUACAAAAAACUCAGUCGCCAUCUUAUCAUAUUUGUGUUGGACAACCUCAUUUUGACAAAUAUUGAUCAUGUACAGGCCUCAGCGUCUCUAUGGGAUUACCAACAGCAGAGACAGUGAAUCCCACCAUAGUAACAUAUAGGUAGCCAACACUAGCAAUGCAUCAGUCUGAUAUUAGCAUCAGAGAUUCUUCCAGUCAUGGUUCAAAAAGUGAGAUCAGGUGUGGGUCAAGCUAAUCAGUCCUGUGAUGUUCAGUGUUUAAUGUGUCAACUGUUCGCAGCUGUGUACCUGUUGCUAACUGGUGAGAACUAACAUAGCCCUGAGGAAGAUAACGGGAAGAGAGCAGUCUGGAGAUAAACUCACAGUGAGACUGAGAGCACACAAGUGAAACCACAAGUGACUGCAGUUUGCAGCAAAGACUUCAACAAUGAAAUAAAAUGAGACUAGUUCAAAUAAGAAUCCAGCACAUUUCAGGAUGAUGAAAUGGCAUUUAGAUGUACUGAUGUAAUGGUACUUAAGAUGUUUCGUUUCAUACACACCUU